GUAGAAGAAAGCUAAGGGUUAGGCAAUAGGAAUUAAUUGACUUGCCCAGUGUUAUACAGCUGAGAAAUGUCUGAUGCCAGAUUUGUAACCAGGAUUUCCUGUCUCUAGACCUGGCUUUCAAUCCACUGACCUACCUAGCUGCCCCCCCCCCCAAGAUACAUUAAUUCUAGAAGAAGCUAUCCCAUAGUUUAUAUUCCCUUCAUAAAGUAACUGAGCUUUUGCUUUUGCUGGUUGAGCAAUGCCUUCAUAUUAUGAUGAAUCCAUUUCUCAGAGUCCUAAACACUCUUCCCUCACCCUCACUCAUAGAUGUAUGUCAGUCUUGUAUUUCAGCAUGAAAAUGCAUUGGAUAUGUUAGAGACACAAUCUGAUUAUCAUCAAGACUAUGGAAUUAAUAACUCACUCUAAUUUGGGGGAUUGUGUGGUGUGAAUUUUAAAACUAUUCCACCCUAAUCAGACCAUACUUUAGAAGAUCUGAUUUAGCUAUUUCCUAAUCAAUAACAAUAGAGAUACUUGGACUAACAGAAUCAGGUCUUGGGAAUCCUGCAUUUCUCCACCCUCCUUAGUUAUCAAGAUUGGGAAGGUUUGCACCAAACUCAAGAUUUAAUUAUCUGAGGAAAUGGCCUUCAACAGACAUGUGCAGAAAAAGCAGACAGACCCCUGGGCUGUCCUAAGUCAAGCUUAGCUAUCAUUGGUACAGAUGAGGCACAGGAAAGUGGCAUAAAACUGUCUAUAUAAGGUAUGUCACUUCCUCUCUCUUCCUCUUUCCCUGGAGAGGUGACUCUGGCUGGAAGCGUGUUAGGUGUUCCGACAUCUUGGAGUGGUGGCAGUUAUUUGUCUGGGUUUGGCAAAGUGAUGUGUCUUUUUUGCAACAUGACAAACAUGGAAACAUAUAUUGUAUAGUAACUCACAUAAAACCUGUAUCAUGUUACCUGCUAUUUUGAGGAUGGGAGAGGAAGAAGAAAAGGGUAGAAAAUGAAGAACAAAAUGUCAGAAAAUGAUUAUUUUAUAAAUUGUAUCCACAUGUAAUUUGGAAAAAGUAAAAUAAAAAAUUUAAGCAAAC
rnacentral:lncRNA from 1 species